GCCUAUAUGCAUGGGUUUUUACUGACACCGCCAAGGCUGCAGGUUUGAUACCUGUAUGGACCUAUUGCAUAUUCCUGCAUUGCAGGGAGUUGGACCAGAUGAUCUUCACGGUCCCUUCCAACUCUUUGAUCCUAUGAGACAUCAACCUUUGCAAACAAUGAAGGCUGCUGAACAAGGUAUGAAAUAGGGAGGGAUUCCUCUCGGGUGAAACAGAGGUAAGCACUGUCAGUUUCCCAAUUGCAGCUUUGUGACAACCUCACUGACCAGGAAAGCCUUUUCACAUUGCAUAAUGCCUCUUUUAAUGUUAGAAUGUGAGGGUGCCGCCUCAGAAACUGCUCUCAUCUCCCAAAAGAAACUUAUCACUCUUUCAAUAGCGAAUGAAGUUUAGGGCAUACAGAGCGACCUGGUGGUCACUCCAUAUUUCUUACCUGCCACAGAAGAACAAAGUCACUGGGAUUCUCAGGAACAACUGCCAGGUAAGCCAUUAUCUAAGUUCAGUAAGUAAACCCUUGUUAGGUCUGACAAAUAUAUGCCCAUUGUCCUGCCUCUAGCAGCCUUAGAAUAAAUGCAAUUUCAUACAUAUUUGAAACAGGGCAGCUGUUAGACAUUCAGAACUGAAAAUGUUAAUUCUGGACAUUUUGUUAAAAUUCAAUCUGGAAAUAGUUCUAGAAAUGCUAAAUCUUGUACUGCAGUGUUUUUUUCUUUCGUAACUUACAGUACUUUAUCAGUUUCGGAAAAUACAUUUCUUAUGUAGGUUAUUAUUAUUAUUAUUAUUAUUAUUAUUAUUAUUAUUGAUUUUCCAGUAUCAUUCCAAUAGCAGCCUCAUUAUAACAAUACCAAUUUUAUCCAAUUAAUACAGUUAUUAAUACCAAUUAUUCAAAUGUCAAAUUAUACAAUUUAAUUAAACUGGCCCUCUCACAUGCUAGAUAUGAUGGCUUCAUUCUUCUACAUUUUUUCUGCGUUCCAAAAUUUUAAUAAUUUCCAUUCCAUUCCUUUCAGAUAUAAUAAUUCCUUAUUUAACAGCUACAGUUGUGAUUUCUAUUUGCGAUGGUAUAUUAGGUAAUUUAUAAAAUUUCAAGUGAAGAAUUCUAACUGUAAUCCUUAUUCUUUCCUGUGUGUAACAGUUUCCCCCCAUGUUGUUUUCCUGUUCAUAUAUGGUGUUGAAUCUUUUAUUCCUGCAACUGUUGAUGGUUUCCAUUGCACCCCGAGAGAAGCGGUUAUCCCAGUGUUUCCAAAAAUCACUGCAUCACUCCGCCCUGUGAUUCCAGCUUGCCAUUUUCCCCAGCCAGCCUAGGAAGAACAGUCUGAAUCCAGACUACAGAUAGUUAAUCCAGAAACUUCUAUUCCCGCAGCUGGUAGACUCCUUUCCUCCCUGCCACUGAUUUAUGGCCAAUUGUCCUUAUCUCAAACACAUUCCUUUGUGGAUAAUGGAGGUUAGGGAGAACUUUGCUCCAUAUUUUCAAAGCAUAGCAUUGCCCUCCCCUUCCCUAUCAGUUCCUUUCUCUCAUACACACAGUUCCAGUUUUGUUAAAGUCCAUAUUUAUAUUCCAGUUUCUCCCAUCCUCGCUUGUAUAGAUAUUUUAUUAAUAAAACUUGCAUUCCGGGGAGGGUUGCCGUAUCAUAAAUGUAGAGAAAAACUUUAAAUAAGCAAACUGUGGGCUCCCCUCCCCCCAUCCUCUCUUUCAACGAAUGGAAUCCACUCUCAUUCCAAACCUUUUAGUUCCUUGUAGUUGAGUUGUUUUCUCUGUUUCUCAUCUCAUCUCUGGCAUGCACCUGUAGUUUAUUCCAUUUAGAAACCAAAUAGCAGGAUAACCUGUGCUUCCACAAACAGGAUUGGGGUUGGGGAGGGUCGCAGCAGCCGGAGUGCUUCGUGCACCCAGUGUCUUUACCUGCCCUUGCAUUCCAUGGGGAAGUGACUGCCAGGCAAACUGCGGGUGAGAGCCUGGUCCCUCUUCCAACCGAAGAGGAAUACAACUCCCAUCAGUGCUUGCCAGAAUGGCCUGUGAUUAGGGAUGAUGGGAGUUGUAGUCGAAGAAGCUCUGAUAGAAAAGCAGUGGGCAACCUGUAGCCUAUGUUGUUAAAACAAACAAAUUCAGUUUUGUUCCAUUGGGAAUAUUGCAAAAUGAAAACAAUCUCAAUCUGGAUUAAAUAUGUUAAGACCCUUCACAAGACUCAACAAUGUCAGCUCAAAAAUGAUUGUUCUUUAAUGUAUCUGUUGCAUUGUUCUUUUACAGUUGUUGUUUUUUUAAUCUUAGCUAGUGAUUGGGGUAGGGUAUGAUUUUCUUUGUAUUUUAAUAAGAAACUACCCGAUUUGUACUUCUCAAAACAAUAUGUGAACCAAAGCACAGCUAUCCUUCGAAAUUUGGAUAUCUCUGAAUGUUGCAGUGUGCUGUUCUCCAGCCAAACAACGCAUGCAGAAAUUCAUUCAUUCUCAGUUGCUUGUCACCCAAAUGUCUCCAAGUGACUUACAGCAAAAAAAGAUAUACAGUACAUAAUACCUUGAGGGGGGAAUCACGUAAGACAUUAAUACAUUAAUAUUCCAUAUAAACAUGGAAUCCAUUUUUUAAAAAUACUCAAAUAAUGAACAAAGCAAUAACCAGACCCAUUACUUAACAGAUAAACAAAACCUCAACCUUCCUCUAAUCCAAAAACCAUUCACAUCAACCCAUCAAUCUUCCCUCUUUAACCUCCCCACUCCACCCAGAAGUCGGGUGUUGAGACCAGCUGUUGCAAAACAGUGGCGGGUGAGUCCGAUUUCCUCUAGAGACGGUCCAGUGUCUCUCCUCUCACUUCAGGGGGAAGCAGUAGCAAAGCAAAGGAGGAAGACGGUAACAAAAGUUUUACCUACAAAGAAUAUGCAAAGGGGUGGGGAAUUGCUUGCAAAAACGUACAUGUUAGAAUGUGCCAACAAAAAUGUGGUUCUUGUUGGCAGGAAUUUUCUUUGUACGUGAACUUUCCUGAGGGCUUAAAGAAAAACAAAAAUUGCUUUGGGAAUGUGGAGAACUGAAGAUCCGAGAAACGAGAAACAGAGAGAAACCAAAAGAGACAGCUUCAUCUGUCCCUAAUGCUGACAAAGUUUUUAAGCCAUUGCCUUUAAUUGUGGUUUUAUUAUGGUUGCGUGUGUGUUUUUUUUAUUGUCGUUACCAGUCACCUGCUGGUUCAGGUGACCAGCCUGCCUAGUCCAACAUCCUGCUCUCACAGUGGCCAAGAUGCUCAGGAAAAUCAUAGAGUUGAAAGAGACACCCCAGGGUCAUCUAGUCCAACCCCCUGCAAUGCAGGAAUUUCAGCAUGCAGUCCUUCAUGCAGCCCACAAGCUUCUCCCCGCUUGAGACCCACAGCAGCUGGCAUCCAGAGGCAUACUGUCUCCAACAGAGGCAAAUUUACAGAGUUAUUGUGGCUAGAGUCCGUGGACAGCCUUGUCCUCCAUGAAUUCACUUGGGAGGGAGGAAAUCCAACUCCUCUUUCAGCAAGCCUUCUAAGUGGAGAUUAUUAUUUUUGCCCCUGUCAGCAUCUGUACUGGAUUUGAAAUUGCUUCGAUAUACGCAAUAUUGUUAAAUAUGUCCGCUUGCGUGCAGGCAGGCAAUUAUAUACGUUCUUUUUGUAUUGUGUUGUUGCUUCAAAGGAAGUGAUUCAUCCAUGAAAAUGUUGAUGGGUUGCUUCCAACACAACACUAAGUUACAAGUCAGUUAGUAGUAUACAGUGGUACCUCGGGUUACAUAUGCUUCAGGUUACAGAUGCUUCAGGUUACAGACUCCGCUAACCCAGAAAUAGUACCUCGGGUUAAGAACUUUGCUUCAGGAUGAGAACAGAAAUCGUGUGGUGGCAGCGUGACAGCAGCAGGAGGCCCCAUUAGCUAAAGUGGUGCUUCAGGUUAAGAACAGUUUCAGGAAUAUUACUAACCUGAAACUGUUCUUAACCUGAAGCACCACUUUAGCUAAUGGGGCCUCCUGCUGCCGCCGCGCCGCCGGAGCCCGAUUUCUGUUCUUAUCCUGAAGAAUAUUACUGGCCCAAAAAUGGAAGCAAGAAGAAUUACCGACGGUUGAAGAAUGGAGAAUGAAGUUAAUGGACUAUGCAGAACUAGAUAAACUAACAGGAAGGAUUCAAAACCGGCGGGACCAGAAAUUCACGGAAGACUGGAGUAAAUUUACGGACUACUUGAAAAGUAUUUGUGAAGAUCAGACAACGUUUGUAGGUUUGCAAGAAGUUUUGUGAGGAGUAUUAUUGGAAGUAUUGCAAAAAUGGAGAAGGGGAAGGAUGAUUUGUUAAGAGAUGUAAAGGCAAUAUAAAGUUAAGAAGUGGUUACAACGGUGGAUCAUCAGAGGUGCUGAUGGAAGUCUAAAAAGAUUGUAUAAGUGAUAAGCUUUGUGGUACAUUUUAUAAUUUAUAUGUUAAAAUCAAGAGAGAGAGAGAGAGAGAGAGAGAGAGAGAGCGCAGUUUCAGGUUAAGAACGGACCUCCAGAAUGAAUUAAGUACAUAACCCGAGGUACCACUGUAUUUACUGCGCAGGUGGGGCAUUGCUGCAGAUGGGAAAACUCAGGGGCCCUAGCUCAGGAGUAGGACAUCUGCCCUGCAUGCAGAAGGGCAUGGAUUCACUCCCUGGCAUCUCCACAUAGGGCUGAAAGAGACCCCUGCCUUAAAUCCUUGUUUUCUGCCCUGAUUCAGCAGUGAAGAUCAGGUUUUCCUGCAGAAAGCGGUGGGGGAGGGGACCCAUUUGACACAGACCAGGAAAACUCAGACUUGUGCCUAGAUAGGAUGGGGCAAGGGGUAAGUGUGAAUUCUUCUUCUUCUUCUUUGGCGAUCACUCAUAGCCGAGUAAGAUUGUCUUCCAUAAACACGGUUUUAACAAUGAGUCUGUAAGUGACUGUGGAGGCCAAUUCUGGAUCCACACGUCCUUCCGCAGUGGGGACAUUGGUUUCCGGGCAGGAGUUGAUCACGAUGUGGAUUCCUCCCUGGAGGCAUUGCUAAGCUAGAGACACCAAUGGACUGACUCCGUGUAAGUCAGCUUGCUAAGUAUAGUAAGUACAUUACCAAAACUUGCCGCAUUACUUAUUUCACAGCUUGCACACGUGCAACUGUUUCGUUGGAUUGCUUUAUUACACCAGCUUGAAACUCUGCCAUCUGCUAAUGCAAGGGAUCAGAAGGCUGAUGCAGCCCAGUGUCACCAAGUCCUCAGGUUGUUCUCUAUCCCUUCUCCAUCAUCGCUACAAUGCAGCUGUGCUUCCACCCUCAGGUCAUCCCUUCUUGUAGUCUGAGGCGUCAAGCUUUGAGUGGGG